AUACCUUAGCAUGAACUGGGAACCCGGCAUUGAAUGAGGGAGAGAAAGAGAAAGGGAAAGGGAAAGGUGGGGAGUGAAGGACAAAAUCAGCCCCAUCCCAUCCAGGUGGGUCAGAGCAGUCCCGCCCUUAACACUGUCUCAUCCUCCUCUCCUUCUUCUCCUUGUUCAUGUUUGAUGUAUCUUUACGGCUCUUAUGGAUGAUGUGCACCCCCAUGACCCGUUCCUAUCAUCCCUAACAUUUGGUUAUUAUUGCGGUUGUUUUCUGGGAUCUGCUGCCCACCCCUUUGGACUGUCAUUGUUAAUGCAUGCAUGCCCCUACACACAAGAAAUUAUUAGAAUUCAAACCCCAUACACAUAGCUAGCCUCACACAUCAUCACCCUUUUUCCUUUUCCUCUUCUGAUGCUGCUAGCCGCUACCUACUUCUCCUUCGCCGCCCCCAACCCCACUCCCACUUGUUUUCCUUCUUUUUUUGGUUGCAGAUACGAGGGAAUUGAUCACAGCCCUUGGUUGGGCUUAAUGCUGAGUGGGAUACAUAUGAUGAUGAGCAAAGAAAAAGCGUGAGGGCACCUCUCACUAACUUUGGCACUUUCCAGGGAGGCUUUUUCUUAGGUGAGAAAUAAAGAAGAGGAGGUGGGGAAUGGGGGAAGAAGCCAUCCGAAAGAUCACGGGAAUGUGGUGCAUUAAAUCCAAACAAAAUAUCAACGUGGUCCAUGCACUCUACUACCCUCGCUAGAUUGCACGCGUCCUACUUUCGAACAGAUGGAUGAUCCCCUUUGAUGAAUGAUUGCUCACUCCUAGCGUCUACAUGGGACUACUGCUUUUUUUUUUUUAUCGUUUUCUCAACCAGCUGGACAGGUGUGAUCGUGAUGAAGCCGCAACAGGUGAACUUGUGUUUCUCCGCAUUGUUAAGGAGCUUCGUUACUUCUCGUUGCUAAUUAUUGAUUAUCCCUUCAUCGUUGCUAUGUGGGAACUGGGAUGGAGCUUUCAUUUGGCGAAACAAAUGAACAAAAAUAUGAAUGAGUUGGCAUGGGCCAUCAAAUCAUUCCACCCGUCAAUCAUACACUACCAUGCCGAAGGAGAUACUCAUCCUUCCACUCUCAAAACGAAUAAAUUACCGUGAAUAUUGUUCCUUUUUGGGUCAUGCCAUGCAGGCUAAAUAGUUUGUCUGAUAAUUAAGUCCUAUCUAACUCUCAGAUGUCUUCUCUUUCACUUUCAGAAUCCAAAUUUCAUAAUUUGUUUUGUCAA